UCUGCUGCCCCCUGUUACACAGAUAUACUCAGCCUCGUCCUCAGACUGGAGGUUGGAGAUGGUCAAGUAGCGGUCGGCCCCAGAGCUGGAGCCCGAGAAGCGAUCGGGGAUCCCUUCCC